AUUCUUCUUUCUCCUUCAUUUCUAUGUUGAUUCUGUUCGUUUUACUAGUGAACUUUUCUUUUUUGCUGUUUUUAAUCAUGCUUGGGACUUCUCAUUCAUUUCUAUGUUGUUUGUGUUCGUUUUACUAUUGAACUUUUCUUUUUUGCUAUCUUUUGUAAUGCUUGAGACUUCUUGCCACCAGUUUUUCUUAAUUAAUUUCCAUUUUGUUGGCUCAGCAGAAGCCGCCGCCGCCGCAUUGUCGUCAGGUGGUGGAAGCCCUCUUGCUCACCGACAGCCUGCACUUGUAGCGCCGUCGGACACUUGUGGCCAAGACCCGUUUUCGGCCACCCUUAUCAGCCCUUCCACCCGCUUGCCAUUUGCCUCAUUGUUGAAAGGUGCUUCUAGCCAUUGCCAUCGUGCCCCAUCAGGCCACACUCAAACAACUGGUGAUAAGUGUCAACAGAGACCAUUGCAACCACCAAGAUUACCCUUGGUGGCGAGGGAUUUCCUACACCUUAUUUUUUAACUUUGCAGGGAAACAAACGAAACUGUUGAUGCAUUGGGCUCAACUGAAGCUGCUUGGUUCAUUCUUCAUUGGUGCCCUUCUCCACUCUUUCACACUUCCCUACAGCAGAUUUAUCACAUUAUAGGUAUAUAUGUAUCACCAUUUUCAACAUUUAACGAUGUAACUCACUUCUCAGUUCAUGCCAUAAGUAUAUAUGUAUCACCAUUUUUCAAUAUUUAAGGA